rnacentral:tmRNA from 1 species
GGGCGUGAUUGGAAUUGAUUGUCAUGGAAAGUAAAUAGUUCAUGCGACACGGUUAGGACACCUAAAGUCCAACAUCACAAAUGGCACAGCGCAAGUUGUUUCCAUGGACCGCAGCUACUUAGCAGCAGCUUGAGUUCUGGGCUCUCUUAGCCUCGAAACAGAAGACAGAGCCGACUUAUCGGAUAAAUAGGUGGUGGAGUUGGGUUGAAUCUUUGUCAACCCACAAUUAGUUAAGUAGCUGUCUUUUACAGUCAACAGUUAUAGGAAAACGUAAAAGUCUAAGCAUGUGUAAUGGCUAUGAGAAGAAAUGACAAGACCGGGGUUCGACUCCCCGCAUGUCCACAA